GCUAAUUCAAUUGCUGAUUUCAGAAUAAUGAAUUCUAGCAAGAUAUGUUCACUGAAGUCACACUACUACCACAAACAUUAGAGAGUCACAGCAAGGCAUAAGGCAAAAAGGAGGAUAAGAGAUUGCAGUUCUCUGUUCAUAGGAAAAGGAGCAACCAGAAACACUGUACCACUGCUAAGUUUGAGCUAAGGUGCCCUAGCAUCCUCGUCCAAACUUCAGUAGCUGCUAGACUCUCUGCUGAGUACCCUAUGCUGCCACCCUCUCUUCAGGUUGCAUACUGCAGAGACAUUAUUGGGAACAUCCUCAAGCAAAUGUGACAUCAAUUUCUGAAUAACAUAAAAUACAGUAAGUGACUUAGUCUGGAG